rnacentral:lncRNA from 1 species
AAAUGUGUGUAUAUAAAUAUGCACCUUGUAAACAAGAAGGGGGGAGCGAAUUGAACCUCGGGAAGAUAGCAUAAGGGAACAGAAAAAAAAAAGAGAAAGAGAAAAUUCAAUCUCAAGAAGAGAACGUAAGGGAACAGAAAGAAAAGGGCUUCGAUUGCAUGCACCCUGGUUUUCUCUACACCUAUACUUUUGUCUUAUUUCAUGAUUUUUUUUUUAUUUUUUUAUUAUUUGAUUAUCAGGUUUUUAUUGCAUACAACCCCCUGUAGUUUUAUAUUCUCACAUUCCUUGUUUUUUGUAAUUCUAUUUAUAAGUUUGUUUCAUUACUUUUAGAGAUUCCUAAGACAUCUUUCUUUUUAACAAUUAAAUAUGGUUUUU